UGGGAACAUACCUUUUGGUUCGGAACAACACAGGGAAACUUGUGCUAAUACCGGAUAAGCCCUUACGGGGAAAGAUUUAUCGCCAUUGGGUGGGCCCGCGUCGGAUUAGCUAGUUGGUGAGGUAACGGCUCACCAAGGCAACGAUCCGUAGCUGGUCUGAGAGGAUGAUCAGCCACACUGGGACUGAGACACGGCCCAGACUCCUACGGGAGGCAG
rnacentral:rRNA from 1 species